rnacentral:misc_RNA from 1 species
GUUACGGUUUACGAGUUUUUUUAAAAAAUAAUGAAAUACUCACAGUGAUAUCCGGAUAUUUGUAAAAAUUCACCGUGACCUGUGCUCUCCUUCUUCGCCUCGGUUCGUGAAAAUCCACCGAUUCAUGCCCGCUGACGAUGCGCUGUCCGCGGAGAAAAAUCAGCACGACGCCCCUGGUUACUGCAUAACCUCAACCGUGUGACAGCUUGCCUUAUAGGCACAAAACCUUAGUAAGUAAUAUUUGUUUAUUAUGG